CAAGACUCCCUGCCCAACUGCAGCAAGAGUGGUCCAGAUCCCUCAGCUGCUUUUUCAAAGGAGGGGAAGGAUAUUUUUGUCAUCAUCACCCUCAAAUAGAAACUAGAGUCUUAGAACAAGGGAGCCGUUUAUUCACUCUAGUCCAACCUCCUCAUUGUAGGGAUAAAAACACACAGGGGGGAAAAACAGCCCUAGAAAGCUUAAAAGAAAUAAAAUAUUUAAAGUGACAGA
rnacentral:lncRNA from 1 species